UUCCUCUGCAUUUCAUUUGCUGUUCCCUGGCCUGCAAUGCCCCUUCCUUCCCACCUCCCCCGAGGGCCUAGCAGCCCCUCCUACACAGCCCUCUAGCCCCUCUGUGCUCAAAGUGCAUCUGAGGACAUCACCUGAGAGCUGUAGGAGAUGCAGGAUCUCAGGCCCCACCCCAAACCUACUGAAGCCAAAUCUGCUGUUUAACGUGAUCCCUGGAGAUUCAUAAGCAUGUUGUCUGUGCAGCACGGAGUGAGGGGCGGCUCCUCUUCGCUGCACCCCUUCCUGAUUACCCCUAGGCCCAGCCAAAUAAACUCUUCUUCCUGCUCCCUUGUGCCCCAUUUGGACUUCACUCGUAACAAGGGAGUAUAACUGGAUGGUAAAAGGGACUUUUCCUGUUAUCUAGACAUUUCAGCAGAGGCCUCAAAGGCAGAACAAAAUAGUGCAAGGAGCCGCACAUCCGCACAGUGCUGAGACCCUGCCCAGGACAAGCUUGACAAAAAAGAAGAAAAUUGGGUCUUGUUAUGUUGCCCAGGCUGGUCUCCAACUCCUGGCCUCAAGUGAUCCUCCCAGCUUGUCCUUCCAAAGUGUUGGGAUUAUAGGUGUGAGCCACUGUGCCUGGCCAUGUCUGAAUGUUGAAUGUUGACAGCUUCAGUGAAUUGACCCCUCUUUCACCUAUGGGACUUAUGAAGAGAGAAUCUUUCUGGCAUUGCAUAAUCCUUCCCAAGAGUACUUUAGCUGUGGUAACCCUUCUUGUUAUAAAACAUGCCAGAUCCUGGCACCCAAGUGACAACCUGCAUUGAAAAGGCGGAACUUGGCUCUCCUGCCCUGCCAGCUGUAAGAGCUUGAAAGCAAAGCUAUGGGGGGAAUGUCUUUCAUUUCCCCCUGGAAGCUGGGAGGACGUUCAGCUUAGCAUUGCCAACUGUGUAAUGUGGACUUGCCUCUAAAAGAAGCCUUUUUCCUUGGAUGUCUUUCAGGCCGCAGUAUUCCCUUUGGCACCCCCACCCACCUGGAACAAAGCCUGAUGUAAAGUCUGGGUGCGACUCAGACCGGCCUGGGAAAGAAUUUAUUUAAUAAAUGGUGGAAAGUGGCUUCCUUGACGUGUCUUCGAUGGCUUUUUUAUAAAGCAUUUGGUUUGUCUACUCGUCUGUUUUUGCGCCAUCUCUUUCCACAAAGAUGGCUUAUAGCAGGGAUACUUACAACAAAAUGAUGCUGGGAAAACAAAAACAAAGAAGUAGAGAAUUAGGCCUGAGAAAACUAGGAGUAGAGAGUCACGAUUAGAUACAGAGGAGCAUAGAUGUGUAGUCUAGGAAGGCCAACUAAUUGUUAUAGCUGAAAUUCAAAUUCAGUUAGCUAAAAUGUUCCUAGUGUCAAAGGAAGAAUGGGCCACACAGUUGCAUAAUCCUUAGUAUUAGGGAGAAGGAAAAGGUUCCAGUUAUUCAGAGGGAUGUUCUCUUGCCUUAUUCCUUUAAUAAGUAUCUGUUAAAGGCCCACCAUGUGCCAAGCACCAUGCCCGGCAAGCACUGCACUCACCCCCCAGGAACUCAGUGUCUAAAGGAGACUGGGUGAAAGAACUAUAUUUGUGUGCCUAUGAUGUGUCAAAUACUAUGCAUUUAGUUAUGCAGUUACUGUAUGUUAGACACUAUGCAUUUAAUUAUUUACCUGCUGUAUAUCAGACACCAUGCAUUUUCAUUUAACCCUCAUAAGCACUUACAUCAAGUAGACACUGUUACCUCUUUUUUACAG
rnacentral:lncRNA from 10 species